rnacentral:lncRNA from 1 species
UAAGAAAGAAGAAAUUUGUAUCUUCUGACUUUAAUUUAAUUUUAAUGAUAUGAUUUUAAUUAGGUGUCUAAAUUAGACGAGUUAGUGUUAGUGUCUACAUAAAAUUUUUCUGCAACAGUGAAUCCUGGCCCUUGGAUUAUAAGUCAUUAAAUCCUACAACUAUUAACUUUGUGCAUGGUGCAAGACUCUUCUAACUUGUGCAC